AUCCAAACUUUUAAGAUACAAGAUUUGAGAUUUUGGCUAUCCUACUGGAUUUUAUCCAGGCUCCAAAUGAACAUGAAAAAUAUUCCCCAUUUCAAGGCAAUGAAUGGGACACAGUCAAAGACUUACCUUGGUUUCCUCUUCUAGCUGUCUCUUAAGCUCUUCAAUCUGUUGCGUAAAUGAUGUUUUUCCCCGGGACAGCUGACUUAUCAACGACUCCUUCUCUUCAAGUUGUCUUAUAAAUUCACCUGCCAUAGGAUAUAACCAAGAAAAGUCUGGCCUGACUGUGCACAUACCAUUCUCACUCUGGAGUUUUGUCUUCUGAGUAGUGAGGUCAUUCAUGAGGCGAGUCAUUUCCUCCAGUUUCGUUUUUGUCUCAUUCAGAU